CAGGACAUAGUUCAAUGCAGAACACCUCUUUUACACUGAGGAAAUACUCGUUCAAUUCGAGUUGCCCUGA
rnacentral:tRNA from 1 species